rnacentral:lncRNA from 1 species
UGUAGAAGUAGGUGCCUUAAAGCAUAAACAUAACACUGUUUUGACUGGAAUUUGCCUAUUUGACAUGGUUUCUUCUCAAAGUAUUACAUUUAAAAUACUGAUCUCAAGGUAUUGCAUUUAAAAGUGCUACACAGUGUGUUACUUAGUGAGAAUAUGCUCAGGGAGAUGAACUCCUCCCUCUUUUUACAGCCAAAUUAAGCUACCAACUAAAGCAUAAUUAAAAAAAGUGAUAUCCCUUUCGUUCUGUCUUCUGGUUAUUUGGGGAGCAAUAAUAAUGAAAUUCUCAACUCACAUCAAUAAAUAUUAUUUCAUUCAUUAUUAAUAGAGCCU